UGUUUGUGUACUUAUUUUUUCGUUUUCUCGAGCUUCAUUGAGCACUUGUUCUUAUAUGUGAAAUAAUAGGAGCUUUUAUGAAACUUUGCAAAUAUAAUACGCGGAAGUGAUUUCUAUGUUUCUGAUGCUUUAUGCAGGAGGCCCACCACCCCCUCUUGUUCGCAGUGGUCACCACACGGAUGGGAAAAGCCAGCAAACCUUCGCCUGUAGUUUUUGCGAGUACCGUACACCAAAAUGGGCUGUCAUGCUGAACCAUCGGCGCACACACACAGGGGAGCGACCGUUUACCUGCCACCUAUGUCCUGCACGGUUUACCCAGAAGGCCUGCCUGAUGCGCCAUGUGCGCACGCAUACAGGAGAGAAGCC
rnacentral:lncRNA from 1 species